UACGAAGGGGGCUAGCGUUGCUCGGAAUCACUGGGCGUAAAGGGUGCGUAGGCGGGGCUUUAAGUCAGGGGUGAAAUCCUGGAGCUCAACUCCAGAACUGCCUUUGAUACUGAAGAUCUUGAGUUCGGGAGAGGUGAGUGGAACUGCGAGUGUAGAGGUGAAAUUCGUAGAUAUUCGCAAGAACACCAGUGGCGAAGGCGGCGACCUGGUCCUUUACUGACGCUGAGGCGCGAAAGCGUGGGGAGCAAACAGG
rnacentral:rRNA from 1 species